CAGGGUGGCCAACUCAUCUGGGUUUUCCAGGGAUUAGUUUUAGCACUUAAUGUCCCCAGGAAACCAGGCUGUUUGGCCACUCUGUGACUAG
rnacentral:miRNA from 1 species